rnacentral:rRNA from 1 species
UACGUAGGGUGCGAGCGUUGUCCGGAAUUAUUGGGCGUAAAGAGCUCGUAGGCGGUCUGUCGCGUCGGUCGUGAAAACCUGCAGCUUAACUGUGGGCGUGCGGUCGAUACGGGCAGGCUGGAGUUCGGUAGGGGAGACUGGAAUUCCUGGUGUAGCGGUGAAAUGCGCAGAUAUCAGGAGGAACACCGGUGGCGAAGGCGGGUCUCUGGGCCGAUACUGACGCUGAGGGACGAAAGCUAGGGGAGCGAAUGGG